ensembl:lncRNA
CUGCUUUCAUCUCUGAAUAACGGCAACAGGGAACAGCACUGCCAUUGAAAGAGUCCACGCAGUCCGUGGAAGGAGUUAAUACUCAAUCUGAAGCUACACGGCAAGUUCACUUAGUUACUUAUAGAGAGAAGUUCCAUGCCAAAAAAAUUUGUCAGUGGAGCCCAAAGAGCACUGAAACCACAGUGGCUGUGGUUUACCUUCAGAUUCAUACACCUAAAUUUGCGUAUCUAAACAGCUCCUUUAGGGGUUUUGCAGCAGUGAGAGGCCUUCAAGCGGAUGUUUGGAUAAUCCAAGUUUGUAUUUUACAUUUACAGGUAGAAGUUGUAUACACUAUCACUAUUACAGAAAAUGGAAACUAUUUGCUCAAGUCUCAUGUGUGUCAAGCUCUGUGGUUUAUACUAAAUGUAGACUUUAUAGCCUGUUAUGUACACUGUGUGUUUCCUGUGCUAGGGAUCCACAAGACAGAAAACCUGAAACCUGUGAAGUUCCCUUUUCUCAGACCUUGGUAUAGCAUCAUCAUCAGUGGUUUCCAUGACAGUGCAAGCUUCCAGCUCCGUAAUAUGUAGUUCAGCAAUGGUGUGACUCAGGUGGUGAUUCAGUAGGUGGCAAGCUUCCUUCUGUCAAUAUUGAAUUUAUGCCCUGCUAUCAGAGUGCACAGCACUGUUUAAAGUACUGUCUUUCCAAUGGGAUACAAGAGUAACAUGGGGACCGGUUACUAUUGUUCAAGAUCCCAUGGCAGUUAAUUUUUUGCAUGGGUGGAAAUAUUAACUCUUGAGCAUCAGCCAGGUUUCAGUUUGGAGAAGUACGUUCUGCUUAAGCUUUCCUUUCCUGUCCUUACGCUGGCUUGUAAUCUUACUCUUCCUGAUGGCUUCUUUCCACGACAUGAGGCUGAGUGCUCCAGUGUGGGAGAUGAUUUCUCUGGAUCCAGACAGCUGGGGAUAGUGCUGGUAUCCUGAGUUAAACAGUAAGAAAGCAUUUCAGGACUGAAGUUAAUCCUGAUUAUUAGAAGUGUUCACUCAACCUUAGUUCAGUCACCUAGAAAUGUUUGAGUCCUGGACUCUCACAUGAUAUCUGUUGGCAAAAGAGCAUGCAAACAACAGGACAAGACAAAUGCAGGCUUACCAUGCAGCUCCUUAUCACAGUACAGGCCACUUGCAAAUGUCAGAUAAUCCUAAAAAAGUUA